AUUAAGCUAUACAUAAAAAUAGUGGAGGCGCAAUGGCCCAGUGGUUAGGGCAGCAGACUCGCGGUCAUAGGAUCACGGUUUCGAUUCCCAGACUGGGCGUCGUGAGUGUUUAUUGAGUGAAAUCAUCUAAAGCUACACGAGGUUCUGGCAGGGGAUGGUAGCGAACCCUGCUGUACUCUUCCACCACAACUUUCACUCUUUCUUCCUGUUUCUGUUGUGCCUGUAAUUCAAAGGGUCAGCCUUGUCACACUGUCACGCUGAAUAUCCCCGAGAACUACGUUAAGGGUACGGAGUGCUCAGCCACUUGCACGUUAAUUUCACGAGCAGGCUGUUCCGUUGAACGGAUCAACUGGAACCCUCGACGUCGUAAGCAAAAGAGUGCCAACAGCAUAAAAAUAACAACAGAAUGUCUCGAAGUAUCGUUUAUUUUGCUUUAAUCAUCUGCACCGAUGAGCGUACGAUCAGUCUUUUAAAUCCAACUUAACGCCUUACCGGAAGUCUCUUCUCUGCGGACUCAGUGUAGUUCAUUGCCUUCUUCAGUCCGUCCGUUUUGUAUCCUGUUUCUAUAGUAAUAAGCCAAGCUGUUCUAUGGUUUACGCGUAUUUCUGCGAGGUUUUGUAACAGAUGAUACGGAAAUUGUAAUUUGUUUAUUAAAACAUCCGUCGAUGAAUGUUUUGUCGUGGUAAUAUUGUCAUCAGAGAAAUAUUUUUCUAAAGGUUUUUUGCAACAAGUGAAUAACAAACAUCUGAUCAAAAGACAACUGAUAUUCAUAAUUUAAAUAUAAAACCACCUUUCUUUCAUGCGUUCAAAUACAUCCGAAUGAUCAAUACUUGAAACCAGAAAAAAAAGUUUUAAUGAUUUCUAUAACCUAUAAGUUAUAGAAAUUAAUUCAAGAGACUGAAUGCCUCAAAAAGCAUGUGGUGCUUUCUUUGGAAAAAGAGGCAGCGGACCUCACUGAGAUAGAAACAAAUAUAAAGCGGCUGGAUGUGAAUUUACUCGGACGUAUUCUACUGCGAGUUCUUGACGGGUGGAUACCAGUCGCUAAAGCGCUAGGAGUUGAUGAAGAGGAAAUUCAAAAAUCCUACGAUGACUAUUCCAAGAAUGAACAGCUGUACAAGAUAAAUGUUUUUGACUGGUGGAGAAAAAGAAAAGGAUUCGGUGAAAAUGGGGUUAAAGAAUUGCUGAUAGCCCUUAAGAAGUGCCAGGAAUGUGUUGUUGACUGGGGAAGUAUGAGAGAGUUACUUAAUUCAGUAAAGCAAAACAGAAACUAAAUAAUAAAUAGAAAUUGACCUGGUCAGUGUGUUACAUAUAUAUUAGGCCUGAAAUAUUGUUGAAGGCAAUUAGUUGAUUGAAUGGACCCGGCUCCAAAUGGAUAAAGGGCAAAGUUGAGCUCAUUAGGAUUUGAACUCAGGACGCAAAGAACUAGAAGAAAUAAUUAUUUUAAAAUUAGACACAAGGACAGCAACUUCAAGAAGUGCGAGUUAAACUCAGAACGUAAAGAACCGGAAUAAUCUUGGGCUAUUAAAAGGAACUCCAUUUUAACUAAUUCAUAUCUAUUUAUGUAUAACUAGCAGAAAUAUCCGGCGUUGCCCAUGUUAAAGAACUAAUGAAAUUCAAAAAUGCCUUUUAGAUCUCUAACAUGAAUCAUGGACUAUGCAGGUCUUACCUCCAAGUAGCUUAGAUACCGACUUUAUAUGUUAACUAGCAGCUAAGCCCGGUCGAUUUGGAUGAUGUGGCUGUAAAACCAGUUCCAUGUAAGCAUUCAACUUGUUUGGGCACGCUUAUGUUAAAAAACAAUUUUAGAAUGACUUUUUCCUGUCAAAACGCUAAAAAUAACUGACCAACAAAAACAAAAAACAACCAAGAUUCAACCAAAUCAAAGAAUAAACCCAAAUACUAAGCGAACAAAGAUGAACCAUCCCACUUCCAUUGUGUGUGCACACACACAUAUAUUCACAGAGUUGAAACGCUGUUUGAUUUAUUUUUUCAGUGUACAAUUUUCAUCAUCCCACUACCAAGUAUGACAUCACCCCUUCCUUUCUCAUUCAUAAACACAAGAGUAUUAUUGUAGUAGGUUAUCUCGGUAACCAUGGGAGCUAUGAAAAAAUACAAAGCCCAGCAACACAUGAUUAUUCUACACAUCUGUGCAAUUUUUCGCGCACUUCCACCCAGCCAUUUGACGAUGAAUCCCAAGACAAGAAAGAAUCGCCCAUGUCAAAUUUAUAUGUAUAGAUAACCCGGUGUUUCCAAUGUUAUUGAAAAUAAUGAAAUUUAAUUAUUCCUUUUAAAUCUCUAAGUAAAAUGAAACGGAUUAUGCAGUUCUCAACAGUAAUUAGCUGAGGUACAAACUAUUGAUGUCAAUAACAUUUUUUCCAGUGUUCUCACUGUUAAAAUUGUUAGCAAAAAAAAACAAGUAGUUCUUUGUCUUUGCAGUGACCUUCAUUUAUCAGCACUUAUUUGAAACACAUUGACCUGAAAAUGCAUAAAUUUGAGAAGAACCAGCCUGUUGGCGCUCCUCUCCUGUUAAUAAGUACAUUUAACAAAAAUUCUAUCAGAUGACGUCAGUAUAAACAAAUGUAUUGAAACAAAUCCGGCAAUCAAUCACAGUUUAAUUAUCUAGAGCUUCUAAUUAUACGAUGCUUUGAGUGUGUCCUUUAAUUGGUGUAUAAAUGAAAAAAUUUUGAGGACUUCCAACUCGCGAACAUCCUACAUAUAACUGCCUGUGAGAAAAGCAAGGUGAAGUCCAACAACCUUGAGAGACUGUCCUUGUUUAUUAGAUUUCUGCACCCACUUCAUCCGAAUUUGGAUGAUCAUAAUUUUCAGAGAAAUGAAUAUUUUUUAAUGAAAUUGUCUACAAAUAUAUACCUCGGAUUAUGUAGAUUCCGAGCAUAUAGGAUUUGGGGGUUAUUUUUGAAAGCUGUUCCCAACUCAGGAGGGUUUAGGAACAAGUCGUCCAUAUUUGGCCCAUUUUCUUUGUUUUGUGUGUUUGUGCAUCCAUAUAUAACCCUUAACUGUAGCUGUAAAAUUUUGGGGAAAAAUUAAAAAUUGGGGUGGGGAGCAUAUUCAUAGAAAGUUAUGAUCAUCCAAAGUCAGUGGAGCAGAAAUCUGUAGUUAUGCCGCCAGAGAAGAAUAUAAAAAAUGAAAGUACCUUUAGAAAUUCUUUUUUAUUUGAAAUAGUUACAACUGAAUAUUAAGUUUUAAUAAGGUGACUUUUUCCAAAAAUGUCCGAAAUGCGUAUUGGAAAAUCAAGAAAAAGGCGUCUAUAUCCAUAUGAAAUUUUUUCUCACAUGAAAGUACCUUUUAAGAUUCUUUACAUACACACAUAUUUCAUUUGCCUGUUGCUUAAGUAGAAAUCUACGAAUGCAGAAACGCACAAAACAGAAAAUGAAACAAAUAUGGAUGACUUGUUCCAAAACACCCCCGAGUGGGGAACAGUUCUCAGAAAUAACCCCCAAUUGUUUUCUCCAAAAAUACCUAUAUGCUCGGAAUGUACAUAGUUGAAGGUGUAUUUGUAGACAAUUUCACUAAAAAAUAUCCAUUUUCCUGAAAGUUAGGACGAAUAUACAUAAUACAGAAAUAAAGUUUUUUUAAUAGAAA